rnacentral:rRNA from 1 species
GAUGAACGCUGGCGGUAUGCUUUACACAUGCAAGUCGUACGAGAGUUUUUAACUCAAGUGGCGGACGGGUGAGUAACACGUAAGAAUUUGCCUUUAGGAGGGGGACAACAACUGGAAACGGUUGCUAAUACCCCAUAUGCUUUCGAGUGAAAUGGUUUUUCCGCCUAAAGAGAAGCUUGCGGCUGAUUAGCUUGUUGGUAAGGUAAUAGCUUACCAAGGCGACGAUCAGUAUCUGGUUUGAGAGGACGAUCAGACACACUGGAACUGAGACACGGUCCAGACUCCUACGGGAGGCAGCAGUGGGGAAUUUUCCGCAAUGGGCGAAAGCCUGACGGAGCAAUACCGCGUGAGGGAUGAAUGCCUAUGGGUUGUAAACCUCUUUUUUCAGGGAGGAACAAAAUGA